GCUCUGUUCUUGCGAUCGCGCCAUUCGCGCUACCCAUGGAAUAAACUUGUGAUUAACACAACCGAUUGGAAAUAUACAAAACAAACAAAUAGAUUCUGAUUCCCGCGCGUGUUGAUUUGAUUCUUUACAAAAAGAAAUUCAAAAUUCUCAGCCCAAGCUUCUGGCCCAGCAUGCUCAAGAACAGAACAGGGGAGGCAGGGGAGGAGAUAUAAAAGGCAAAAUCUGGCUAGGGUUCUCGGCCGGCCGCCGCCGCCCCGCUCUUCUUCCUCCUCUCCGUGAUUUCUCCAGCACUGCCGCCCCAGGAGAAGAGCAGGAGGCCUCACAGGGCCGGCGACGUGAAGGCGGCGCAGGUAGGCGGGGAAGCCUACAGGGGAGCCGCAGCCACGCCGGCGAACAAGCCGCCGUCCCCUCCUCCUCUUUCUUGAGGCGCCUGCAACGGUGACACUGCCCUCGCCGCCUGCUCCUCUCCCAACUAAGGUACCCACGUCAGCUCCUCCUCUCUGCGUCCGAUUGAUCCUGGAUCGGAUUCAAAUUCUUGGUCCGAUUCGAUUCAAUUUCGCCUCUGACUCCCGCGCGCGCGCAAUUCUCAGCCACGGCGAGCAACCCCAAUCGCCGCCGGCUCCUCUUCCGCCUCUCCCAAGUAAGGUCUGCAGUCGCCGCCGGCUCCUACUCCUCCUCGUAUUCAAUUUAAGGAAUACGAGCACGACCGGGAUUGCGCGCCAUAUUUUCCUUCUUCCGCCUUCCUUCUACUUGACGAUCGGGAUUGUUGAUUUAUAUAUAUGACCGGAUCAAUAGCAGCAGCGGCAGCACAGAAUUCGACCUCCGGAUCAAUAGCGCGAACCAACUUUGGUUUGCUCCGCUGUACAGUUGAUAAAUUAUUUAGGAAUAGCAAUAAUAAUCAUCCGGCGACUCCAGUCGAAUUAGGUCUGAGAGGGGCUGCUGCUUCGGGUGCGGUUAUUUAUACCUAGUAUAUAGCAGAAUAAGAAGGUGCUUGCAUUGGGAGGCCAGCUCAUUGAGUUUCUCCAUGGAGGCCAACAACGAUAAUAACAGCUCCCAGAGCCAGAGCCAACAACUGGAGGAUGAAGAUAGGCUCAGCAUGCUGACUGAUGAUAUUUUACUGUCGAUCUUGGGGAGAGUCAGUACACGUCUGGCCGCAACGACAUGUGUGCUCUCUACACGGUGGAGGCAUUUGCCUUGGUUGCUGCCAGAAGUUAUGAUUGAUGUCAAGGAUUUCCUAUCUGUUACACGCCCUGACCCUGUCGAGGCAAAUGAUAUGGAGAAAGCUAUGGUGUCUUUGACCAAAGCAGCCAGGAGUUUCUUGGCUGAUCACCAGAGAGGAUGCACCAUCUCAAGUCUGCAUCUUAAGCUCUAUUUAAUCAACACUUUCUUGUGCGAAGUUGGCCCACUAAUAUGUGACGCAGUCGACAGCCGUUUGCUGAAAGAGUUGGAUCUCUCCGUUCUUGACGAGACAGAUAUUUUGGACUGUAGUGAUGAGGAUAUGCUGCAGCGAGCUCAAGAAAUAUAUUCUUUUUUCGGUGCCUACCCUAGUGUGCCCCACUGCCUCACAAAGCUCACUCUAUAUAAUGUAGGCUUUGACAAAUUUGACAUGCACCAUGUCUUGUUUGACUGCUGCAAGCAACUGAAGCAUCUAAUACUUGUGCAUUGUGAUAGUGGUAUCUGCUCCCUCUUUAAGAUUGAUGCACCAAACUCAAACCUCUGUGUUUUAAAUAUCUACAAGUGUCGCUUUGAGAUAAUCGAGGUUGUCUGCCUUCCGAAAUUAGAGAAGUUCUUAUGGAAUACUUGGGUAUCCGAUUACGCCCCAGUAACCUUUGGUUUUGUUCCAUCUCUUGGGGAAUUAGAACUCUCAUGUAGUUCAUCAUGUGGUCAACGUGAAUUUAAAUUAAGCGAGCUUCUACAUGGAGUAACAGGACUGCAUACUCUCACACUGGAUUUCCAAGGAGAAAAUCUUUGGUUGCAACCUGAGAUCGAGGAACUCUUCACCGCUUUCAACAAGCUAAGGAAGCUGUCAAUACGUGGUAUUUUUGUUGAAUUUGAUAUUUUAUGGACGAUGGCCUUUCUUGUAGCAGCGCCAUCUAUCGAAAUAUUACAUAUCGAGGUAUGGGAACAUUCAUGCGACGUAGAGGCCAGAGUCGACUCCUUCCUUGACAGAAGGACACCUCAGUGGGAAAUGCGCCUCAACGGCUCCGAGAACAGGCUUCUAAAGCAUCUGGAAUUCACUGGUUUUAAAUCACUACAGCAGCAAUUUGCAUUCAUAAGAUCUGUGUUGGAGCGAUCUCCCAACAUGCAGAAGAUAGUUUUGAGACGAGAUGAACAAUGCAAGUAUUGUGACGCCCUUGGGGAAUCACCUUGUCCUUCGAAAUUUCCAAAGAAGAAAGUUGAGCAAGAAAUGGUGGCUAAGCAGAUUAGACAUGGCACAUUCUCGCCAGAGAUAAUUUUUGAAGAAUGACAUGUGCUGUAAUAAUGUACUACUACGUCUGUUCCAAAUUUUAAGAUGUUUUGGUAGGCUAAAUUAAUAUCCUACCAAAACAUCUUAAAAUUUGGAAAUAAAGUAGCACUCCGUAGUGUAGUGCUCCUUCCGAUCGGAGUUAAUUGUCAUUGGCACUCCCGUGUUGAUUAAAUGCGAUCCGAGGUAGUAGUUUGUGAUUGUAUCUCUCAAAGCCAAAAUAAUUUGCAAUGCUUUAAUUAUGUUGUAAAAGAAACAGUUUGUAUUCCUGGUCACAGAGCAUCUCAGAUUUGUUUUGAAUCUUGCUACUUUGACUGCACAUUCGCACUUA